CUCUCUGCUAAUGAUAAUCUGUAUUUGCAGCCACUCCCCAGCGCUAGCCUCACCACCUCAGCUCCACCUCAGAUCGUCAGGCGUUAGAGUCUCAUGAGGAGCACGCACGCAACCUAGAUCCCUCGCAUGCGCAGUUUACACUAGUAGGGUUCACUCUCCUAUGAGAAUUAAUGUCGCUGCUGAUCUGACAGGAAGUGUAGGUUAUGUGGUGAUACAAGCAAUGAGGAGCAGCUGUAAAUAAAGAUGAAGUUGCACUUGCUCUUGUGCUGCUCACCUCCUGCUGUGAGGCCCAGUUCCUAACAGACUCGUACCAGUGUGGGGUCUGGGGGUUGGGGACUGCAGUGUGAAAUGAUGAAGCCAUAAAGGUGAAUAAGGAAAAUACCCUCAUAAAGUUCACAAUCUAGACAUUAUAGUUCUGAUUUUUAAUAUUAAAGUUGGUUUGGGUUUUGGUAGAAAAAAUGUUUAGACUUAUCUCAGCAACCUUUUUAUCCUUUGCUAUUAUUAUUUUCCCCUCAGAGUCUUCCUUGUCCCCUCCUUUAAAAAAAAAUUAGGUGAUAAUUCUAAAUUGUAGGAUUUCAGGAACAGUCAGGUUCUGGGACAGCUGGUGGCAGUGGUGGUGACUGGAUCAAUGUCACAAAAAGAAAGCUAUUUGGCAACAGUCCUCUCCACUAGAAAUGGCCAAUGUGCUUUGUACCAGAACCAGCCUGGUUUCCUAUCUCCCAGGGUCUUGCUCUUUAGUUAAAAGGGUGGUCAAUCCCAAAGCCUUUUAUACUACAGGAUCAUCGGGUUUCAAUGAGUCUCAUGUGGCCACUGCACCUCCAGAAAUAUGCUCUCAAACAGUGUGGCCUAAUGAAACUAUGGGACCAUUUGGACCUCAGUAUCAGAGAUUCCAGCUUCCUGGGAACAUAGGUUUUGAUUAUCAUCUCAAUGGGUGUACUUCACAGAAGAAAAGCCUGAUUCAUAAAACUUUGCCUGAUGUUCUAGGAGAACCUUUAUCAAGUGAAAGACAUGAAUUUGUUAUAGCACAAUAUGCACCUGUUGAACAAGAAAUUAACAGUGUAGAAACUUACUUUGAAAGUGCUACAGUGUACAAUCCAAACAUGUACAGAAUUGCAAAGAGAUUUUGAAUCACUAUUUCCAGAAGUAGCUGAUAACAAACUAAUGAUUCUGACUGUAACACGGAAUACUAAGAAUGAUAUGACUGUUUGGAGUGAAGAGGUAGAAAUUGAAAGAGAAAUGCUCUUAGAAAGGUUCAUCAGUGGUGCUAAGGAAAUUUGCUAUGCUCUUCAAGCUGAAAGAUAUUGGGCUGACUUUAUUGACCCAUCAUCUGGUUUAGCAUUUUUUGAAUCAUACGCAAACAACACUCUUUUUGAAAUAGAUGAACACUACUGACAUCUAGGAUUCUCGUCAGUGAUCUUGGAUGCUGUAAAAUGAUUUGUCAUAGUCUCUGGGGUACCCAUGUGUUUGUAGGAAGUAUUUUCACUAAUGCAACACCAGACAGCCAUAUUAUGAAUAAAUUAAUUGGAAACUAUCAGUAAGGUCAAUUUAUUUUGCUAUACUAUUUGUAUGUUACAUUUAGGUUAAUCUACAAACACUGUCAAAGACUUCAAUUUUUUUUUUAAUUUUGGCAUAUUA